GGUUAACGCUGGCGGCGUGCCUAACACAUGCAAGUCGAACGGUUCUAAGCGCGAGCUUAGGAUAGUGGCGAACGGGUGAGUAAAAGGUAGGAAUCUACCCCUUGGACGGAGAUAGCUACUGGAAACGGUAGGUAAACUUCGAUAAGCCCGAGAGGGGAAAGUGGUGAGACAGCCGAGGGAUGAGCCUACUCUCCAUCAGGUAGUUGGUGAGAUAAAAGCUUACCAAGCCGAUGACGGAUAACCGGUGUGAGAGCAUGAACGGUCACAAGGGCACUGAGAGACGGGCCCUACUCCUACGGGAGGCAGCAGUGGGGAAUCUUGGACAAUGGGCGAAAGCCUGGAUCCAGCGACGCCGCGUGGAGGAAGAAGUCCUUCGGGAUGUAACUUCUGAACUAGCCGAAUAAAAGGCCUGUGGACACACAGGAGAAGAAAGUAGGCUAGGAAAGUCCCGGCUAACUACGUG
rnacentral:rRNA from 1 species